GAUGGAUCCAAGAAAUUGUAUUGGGCAGGGUCAACAUUUUUUGAAGAAAUCAAAGAGUUAUUUCGGUACGACAUCAGAUGAAGUUCAGAACAAAAAGGCUCUGUGGAAAAAAUUUCGGAGUCUUCUAGGAGUACUGAGCUCGUUUAAGGUACCACUACUAUCACAUCCAAGCACACCGCUCUAUUUCCAUCUGAACGAUAUAUCACACUAGAAAACCCAGGACAACUUCAACAAAGUAGUGUUAAGAAAAACAGAAUGUCAAAAUAACUCUAUCCAUCUGUACCUGUUAAGCUCAAUUAUGAAGUUGAAAGACCAUUAAAUAGAAAUAAUUGUUGUUUACUUAAUAAAUAUAAUUCAUAUUUAGAUAUAAAUAUCAAUCGAUAAAGGCGUGCUUAUCUUUCUGAAAAGAAAGUAACCAUAUAAUAAAAUAGAUUUGUUUGUUAAUCUUCAAGAUUCUUCUAAUUACAUAUGGUGUCCAAUAGCUCUAAUAAAUCAAU